GAGAAUCCUGUCCACCGAAUGACUAAGGUUUCCUGGGGAAGGCUCGUCCGCCCAGGGUUAGUCGGGACCUAACCGAGGCCGACAGGCGUAGGCGAUGGAUAACAGGUUGAUAUUCCUGUACCCGUUGUUUUUGUUUGAGCAAUGGAGGGACGCAGGAGGCUAAGGAAUGCAGACGAUCGGAAAUGUCUGUCCAAGCAGUAAGUCUGAAGAGGAGUCAAAUGCUUCUUUUCUUAGGG
rnacentral:rRNA from 1 species